rnacentral:rRNA from 1 species
UCCCCUAGUAACUGCGAGUGAAGAGGGAUAAGCUCAAAUUUUAAAUCUGAUGGGUUCUACUUAUCAGAAUUGUAAUUUGAAGAAACGUUUUCUGUGUCUUGUUAACCUAAAUCUUUUGGAACAAGGUAUCAUGGAGGGUGACAAUCCCGUUCAUGGUUAACAUCAAGAUACGUUACGAUACGUUUUCUAAGAGUCGAGUUGUUUGGGAUUGCAGCUCAAAAUGGGAGGUAAAUUUCUCCUAAGGCUAAAUAUUGGCGAGAGACCGAUAGCGAACAAGUACCGUGAGGGAAAGAUGAAAAGAACUUUGAAAAGAGAGUUAAACAGUACGUGAAAUUGUUGAAAGGGAAACGAUUGAAGUCAGUCGUACUAACGGGAAAUCAACCUAUUUGAGUUGUGAAUUUUGGAUUUUGAAGAGUGUAAACCUCCUGGUUCAAAUAUUUGCGCUUUUUGGGCGUAAUUUCUCGUUCGGUAGGUUAACAUCGAUUUUGAAUAUUAUAAAAUGACUGGAGGAAUGUAGCUUCGAUCUCGUAUUGAGGUGUUAUAGCCUUUGGUAGUUGUAAUGAUCAAGAUCGAGGAUUGCAACGAAUACCCU